GUAAGUGAACUGUCUCUCAUUUGUUUCCCAUUGAAAACAUUCUCUGGUUUCUAGAUUUGUAGUGCUUUUUGUUUGACAUAGGCACUGUAGGUAUAUAAAUAAUACAAUUCUUUCAGGUAUGUUUAAAUAAUUUCCUGACCAAAGAGUUAAUUUUAAACAUAAACUAAAAAUCUUAGGAAACAUGUAUUUAAUAACAAAUAGACCUUACCUAAGUUUUCCCAUGACUGAGCUCAUGCCUUUGAGUUAAGAGUUAACACUGUCCAAUAGCGUGUGACCCAAGGGCACUACACCCAGAGCUUGUACGCCAGUGCCCUGCUCAUCCUUGCACCAGGGCCAAGGGACAGUCGCCAAAGGUGGGAUUGUCUUCAGGAACUGACCCAGUAUAUCUUCAGCAGCAUACCACACUUGUACAAAAGACUCCUGCUGUGGGACACAGUUUAUGUUCACAGCCACUGUGCAGUCACUAAAAGGGGAUGGAGAAGAAGGAGCUGAGUAAGGGACGAGAAACUGUUGUAGUGCUGGGUACUGAUGGCAGCAAUGAUAUGGUUGACAUGGAGUUGACUCUUCUUCCAGCUGCAUGUAAAGCACAUUGUGGCACCGCCAUGAGUAAUCCACAUUGAAUUCUUUGAGAUGGCCAAGGCAGAUUCCUACCAGGAGCAGAUUAGCAGAGAUAACCUGGAGAAUCUUUCCACAUGGAACUGUCAGGAGGACUGUCUUGGACAUCAUGAGCAAAUAUCAAGAGAUCUGAAGUAUCAAGAGACUAUUUGGAUGUCAGAGUUUAAUGUGAAAUCUCAUGAAAAAUAUGGGCCAGGAGGUGUGUCAGAUCCAUAUCUGAGACUGAAUUUGACUUCAGGUCACUUGUUUUACAACUCUAGGUCACUGUCAUAUGCACUUCUGCUACUAUGAUGCCAUCCACCAUGAGGUCUUCAAAAGAAUCCAACGAAUACCAGCAUCAUUCCCUUGAAUCUCCAAACCUGUCAAUGUAGAUAGAAGAAAUAUUGAAAUGGCUCAAAUGUAUCACAUGAAACUUGUAUGGUACUGGAUAUCAUUAAAAAAAUAAAAUUGUCCAGGAAGCUGCAGGUGGGAGGAUCAUUUAGAGCAUUAAAAACAAGUACAAGGAUGCUGUAUAACCCAAUGGGAGACCAAUUUCUACUUCUGAUUCAACCAUGAAGUUCUGCUUCCCAUAUAAGAGCUGCUAGAUGAAGACCUCUCUCCCAGCAACCUCCAUAACCCAAAGGACACUGAGCACCAGCGAAUGCUUCCAUGGGGAGAAAAUAGAAGGCGUUUUUGCAGAUUUUAUUGAUGGAAGGCAAAGGCUCCUUGUGAAAUAAUUAAUUUGUGUUGCUGAUUUAAAACCUGAACUUUGAUCAUGGGCAGAAAAAUAGUGUUGCAAUUCAUCCACACUAAAUCCUAGUGUGCUCUCUGGUAGGAAAAAAUAGAGUAGGAGUAGAAAAGACCAUUGGACAUCCAAACUGCACCAAGCAGAUAAUCAUUUUUAGGUAUAUUGGGCUAAGGAUUCAACACCUUCUUACUAAGGGGUUAAAAGUUGACACCAGAAUGGUGCUGUAUGGAAAUUGAAGUGUUUUGUAUGUCAGUCAUACUUAAACUAACUAUAAUGAACUGCAAAUAAAAAUUCCCAAGUGAAUGUACUCUUUUGAGUUUUGUGAGAGGUAGCUCUUUGGAGUGGGCGUUCAACCUGCCCAUUACAGUCAAAGGAACACAGGGGGCAAUGCUACAUAGUGGCAGUGCUAAUAGAUUGGCUUCUCUUACUGUGCUCACUGUUACAAUAGCACUGUGAAGAAUAUGAAAGGUGAAUCUCUCCCAUCAAUGAAUGUGUCCAGGAGAAGUCAGGAUACAUUAUAUGUAAUACACAAAAUUAGUUUAUUUAUAUUUUAUUAUCAAGGUAAUUCAGGUACAUGGUAAAAACAAGACAAACAUUAAAAUAACAAAACAGCCCAUAAUUUUAAAAACAGUUCCCUGACCUGCUACUCCCUACUUCCAGUCUCACUGUUCAGACUCAACCUAUUUAACUGCUUUCUCAUUGACCACUAAGUCUCAGGCUUUGAAUUCUUUCUUUUAUCUCAUCACCAAGCAUUUACUGAACAUCUCACUCUGAAUAAUUAAAACUUUGUGCCCAGCAUGUAUAACACUUCCAUAUUCCCUUCCACAUCAGCUCCUUUUCCUCUUUUCUUUGUUUUCCUUGGUUCUGUCAUUGUUUAAAUUGACUGUAUUUAAAUCCUCAUUGUCUCUCUUAAUUUUAACCGCUGAUUUCCUUCAAAUCCAGUGAGUACUAGGUUCUAUCAAUUUUCUACCAAUUUCAUGUCCCUAGUGUUCACUCCAUGUUUACAUUCCUAGUAUUCCAACCAGGAUAGGGCCCAUUUGUGUCUUAUCUGUAUUGAGACAAUAGAUAUCUUCUGAUGUCUCCUCAUAUCUAUCAGUUUCACAGUUAUACAAGACUGCAAUAGGUGGGACCAUACUAUCCCUUGCUGUGAACCCUUCAGUUGUUUCAUGCUAUUAUGGAAUAAAGGCCUAAUGCUUUUGGCUGGCUUGGCCAUUCAAGG
rnacentral:lncRNA from 1 species